rnacentral:rRNA from 1 species
AGCCGCCGCGGUAACGACCGGCGGCCCGAGUGGUGAUCGUGAUUAUUGGGUCUAAAGGGUCCGUAGCCGGUUGGUCAGUCCUCCGGGAAAUCUGAUAGCUCAACUAUUAGGCUUUCGGGGGAUACUGCCAGACUGGAACCGGGAGAGGUAAGAGGUACUACAGGGGUAGGAGUGAAAUCUUGUAAUCCCUGUGGGACCACCUGUGGCGAAGGCGUCUUACCAGAACGGGUUCGACGGUGAGGGACGAAAGCUGGGGGCACGAACCGGAUUAGAUACCCGGGUAGUCCCAGCCGUAAACGAUGCUCGCUAGGUGUCAGGCAUGGCGCGACCGUGUCUGGUGCCGCAGGGAAGCCGUGAAGCGAGCCACCUGGGAAGUACGGCCGCAAGGCUGAAACUUAAAGGAAUUGGCGGGGGAGCACAACAACGGGUGGAGCCCUGCGGUUUAAUUGGACUCAACGCCGGACAACUCACCGGGGGCGACAGCAAUAUGUAGGCCAAGCUGAAGACUUUGCCUGAAUCGCUGAGAAGAGGUGCAUGG